rnacentral:misc_RNA from 1 species
GGGGGAUAUCAGCGACACCUUGAAGAGAAUGGCGGAAGAAGAGAUGAUUAAAUACAAAGCAGGUCCAAGUUCACGGCAGAACUGUAUUUUCACAAGCAAAUUCAGUGGCAUUUUGUGCAAAAUAGGCAACAAGAUGCAUGAAAUCUGCAAGUUUCAGGAAGAGUAACAGUUGUCUAUAGAUUCCUAGUUAACCUUCUCAUUUCAAACCAACUAUGCAUCUCCCAGAAAGCUACAGAAGAACUUGUAUUGUAGAAAGUCGAACUGAGCAAAGAGGAAAAAGGCAACGAUUGUUGAUAGGGUUUGUUGUUUUAAUGAAGAUAACAAGAGGGAGGUUCACUCUGUUCUAGAAUCUCUGUCCAAUAUGUGCUGAAAGAAGAUAACAAGUCGUGAGCGCAUAUUCCCAGGCCCAGCAUAUCAAUGAUGUACUAACUCGUAAAAAGGUUCGACUUGUCUAAUUUUAUGAGUUCUAUUAGUUUGAUCAUUUGAGAAAAAAAUUACGUGAGUGAGCCCUUAAAAUGAUAUUAAUGUUCUAUUAGAUGUAUUUUGGACAAACUUUAAG